rnacentral:rRNA from 1 species
AUUGAACGCUGGCGGCAGGCCUAACACAUGCAAGUCGAGCGGAUGACGGGAGCUUGCUCCUUGAUUCAGCGGCGGACGGGUGAGUAAUGCCUAGGAAUCUGCCUGGUAGUGGGGGACAACGUUUCGAAAGGAACGCUAAUACCGCAUACGUCCUACGGGAGAAAGCAGGGGACCUUCGGGCCUUGCGCUAUCAGAUGAGCCUAGGUCGGAUUAGCUAGCUGGUGAGGUAAUGGCUCACCAAGGCGACGAUCCGUAACUGGUCUGAGAGGAUGAUCAGGCACACGGGAACUGAGACACGGUCCAGACUCCUACGGGAGGCAGCAGUGGGGAAUAUUGGACAAUGGGCGAAAGCCUGAUCCAGCCAUGCCGCGGGUGUGAAGAAGGUCUUCGGAUUGUAAAGCACUUUAAGUUGGGAGGAAGGGCAGUAAGUUAAUACCUUGCUGUUUUGACGUUACCGACAGAAUAAGCACCGGCUAACUCUGUGCCAGCCGCCGCUGUAACAC